rnacentral:sRNA from 1 species
GGCUUUGGGGGGGGGGGAGAAACGCAAUGCAUUGCAAAAAUGAGAAGGCACCUAGAGCCGGGCAAGGUCCAGUGGUGUUGAGUAUGCUAGAGGCAGGCUUUUUGGGGAUCUGGAUGAUGCCUGAGCUUCCUCAGAUUGAUGUUCCGGUGGAGCACACAGCCUGGAGUUCUCUCUGGAGACCCUUGAGCCCUUCAGUGGCCUGCAGCUAAGAGUCUGGCUGGCGCUGUCCCGUUCUCAUCCCAAACUUGCCCUGGGGAAGAUAGAUUGUCCCGAGGUCCCCGUGGAAACCGCAGUGCCGCAGAGUUGCCAGUGCAGAGCUUCGGUUGACUUCGAAGCUCCUAGUCUGACCACCUAGAGUCAGAUAUAUAAGCUAAUAUAGGUGACACAUAUGGUGGUAGAAGGUGAGACAUUCACUUUGGGGAUGGAGUAGGGGCGCCUAUUUCUGCACUCUUUUAUGGCUGCCUCCUCCCGAGUGGCAAAGGAGGUGGCCAGCAGAGGGCAGCCUGUAGUCCGUGAAGCUAAGACAACUUUGCCUAGCCUCGGGCUGGGUUCCAACGACCCGACCCUGCAGAGUAGAGGUGGCCUUGGAGCUCCCAGAGCAGCGACCUUUGUCGAAGGAGCCAGACGCUGAGGCCCAAGGGCACCCCGCGAGAUGUGGUUAAACUACAGUCCUCGGACAACCUCACUCUGCGACAAUGAGGGUUUGAAGAGAAGGGCACGGGGCGGGGUGGGGGUGGGGGACUAAUUGCCUGGGGAAGGAAAGUGAAGGUUCUGUAUCCAAGAAAUGUAUGCUCCACCCCAUCCCGCGAUAGAGUCCAAGUGUGUAGACAUCAUAUAUUAGUUUAGUGAACUCUAGGAAAAACUUGGCAAGGGAGGUCAGAGGCUAAUAGUGGGAUGGUCCCAACGUGGAGACACGGGGCUAUCAGUAACCAGGUGAUCCGCUCUGGGAGCAGAAGGACCUAGGGUUAGGAUUCUUACUAGAGAGUCUAGCCUUUCCCUGGCCAUGUUCUGGGUGUUGAGCUGAAAGAACUCACUACUCUGUGUUAGUCUCCUAGUAAUCACUGCUGUAAAUUGGGCAUGGUUGGCUCUGGGUCUUACGUUAGGGAUUCCAGACAGCAGGAGCUAAAUGAAUUCAGGUUCCUUUGCCUCGACAGAGAUAUUAGGUUUGUCUUUGGGGGGAAACAAUCUUUUCUCUGUGCCUGAGAUGCUGCCUCAGAGAGCCAGGUGGGAUUUGGGAUCCGUUUGCAUAAGGUCAGGCCACCACUUCAAUGCACCAGGACGCACCUAGCAGCUUUCAGACCAGCCUAGAACUACUAGGUAACGAGCACUUGUGUCACCCAGAUAUGGAAGGGAUCGUUGCAAAAGAAUAAAAAAAUAAGAAAAUAAAUCUGCUUAGUGUGUGGUUUGUCUCCAAGGGGAGACAAAAGGCCUACCUAGCUGGGGUCCCUUGAAAACACUAAAUAGACCCGCUUUGGGGAGAGCUAAACAAACACACCAAUGUUCAGCAGCCCGGGAGCUUUGACUAAUUUCUGUCUCUCUCAGAUUGGUUAUGAUGAGCCUUAUUUGAUUACCCUUGGCUCUUUUCCCUUCUGUAAAAUUGGAAAGAAGCAUUUCUCAGGGUUGCUGUGACAAUCGUGUUUGAAAACCGUGAAAGCCAAAGUGUAAGUCAUUACUGCGACCGGUAAGAAGCCAGGCCUGUUUUUCUACCUGUGUAUUUUGCCAGCUAGACAACAGGAUAGAGGCUAGAAUCAUUCCUUUGCGUUCCUUUGCGUGCGGGGGCGCGCGCGCGCGCAUGGGCAUGGUUCCUACGUUAAAUGCGCAUGUUGGUCUCUUUGCAAGCACAUUGACAAGGAUGCUUGAACAAGGACACAGAUCCAGGACAUCCUUCCACAGUUCAGCACAGACACGCUGUACUUAGCAGGUCAACCCAAGGUCUAUGUUUGGAGACAGGGUGUAUACAUUGUUCAGCUGAUCUAUUUCUACCUAGCUAGGUCAAUGGCUCCGGGGAAGUAGGGUCUCCUGUGCUGCUCUGCCGCUCGCUCUGGGGUGCGGAAAAGCCCGGAUCCGGGUCUCUAGGUCAGCGCGACUUGGCGCCACCCGGUUCCUUUAUCUCUCAUCUGCUGGCGGUGGGCAGCUCCAGUUUCAUUGGGGACAGAGACCCCCGGGUUGCUUGAUGGGAGCAGGGAACCAGAGGAGGUGGUAGAGGGAGGGUAUCCUGGUCCUGCUCAGGUCUAACCAUCCUGAGGAUAAAAUGUAAUAAAUGAGGAUAAAAUGUAAUCAUGAGGAUAAACGAGGAUAAAAUGUUCAGGGAAGAUUGAAUGGAGCCUUCACCCCACAAGUCUCCUUGGAGGAAGUAGAACUUGAUAACUUGGGAGAAUAUGUGACUCCUGGGUCCUUUGGGGCUGAGGAGGCUCAGGGGACUGCAAGGUUUGCAUGGACAACACUCUGCUUGGUAACUGUAUUCCCACACCAGCCAGUUGCUUGACUCUCCUCCUCUGUUCCUACAAAGGGGUUCCGAGCAGCAGGGCACUCUAAGGUACCCGGAGGUUGCCAAGGCCACUGUCACAAAUGUUAUUCAAGCAGGCUUGAAUUUUGCUGAGACCCAGCGAUUAGUACCCUAGGCUCACAGUCCUUCUCUUGCCUUCUCUGUGGAGGGUUUGGGAGGACAGAAGACACUGGUCAGACUAUUUGAAAUUCAGCUGUGGGGGACAAAGAACGCCAAGCACACAGUUGUGGCAGCACAGACACCAGACGGAAUCGGAAUCGGUAGGGACAACCAAGCCUAGCAGUGGCUGCAAAGGCUAAACACUAUUCCUCUUGUGAGGAGCAGGUCCGCAGGGAGCGCAGCUCUUCCCCCGUCCAAAUCUCUAAAUAGAAAAUAAAAGUGCUGGUGAGAAUGACCGGCAGAAAGCUCUCAGGGCAAAAGUGGCUUGGGAACACAGGCGGGCUGUGGCCCCUGUUCGGUAGAUCCACGAGGUCAGCGGGUUGGAAACGUCAACUCUCCGUUCGGAGUUGAAAGGGCCAUCGGGACGACCCGCUGCCACCUCCCCCGGGAUUCCACAAGGCCCUGACCCGGCCUUUAUCUCAGCACGGUCAGCAGUCGCGGGGGCUUCAGGAAAGAGGACAAAGGCCCGAUGUCACCACAGGCGGGGGCCCGGUUUCCUGCUCACUCUAACAGCCUUUAGUGGUAGUUGGGCAAGAUUAAAAAAAAAAUAUGUGCCGAAUUUCCUUUUUUCUCUUUUAGAAGCAAACAACAAAAAAGAAAAUGGCCAAUGCCCCUUCCCCCUAGUCCACGGGGAUGAACAUUUCCUGGGACCCUGAACUUUUGUUUGCCUGCCUAAACAAGGUUUCUUGUACACAGAUGAGAAUCCAGGGAAAGGCGUUGCUUUGUUUGAUGUGCUGGUUGUAUUACCAAAGACAGUUAGUUAAUCAGGCUGUGGUCUCAGAUUGGUCUCCCUCCUUGAACUGCUCCUGCCCUGCUGCGGGAUUUUGGCUCUGCAGGAUUCCUUCCCUUGCCUUUCGGUGCAGCCUACCUUAGGCUCAGACCCGCCUGUCAAAUCAUUCGUUUUCUUAUUUCCAAAAUAUGUGUAGGGUUAGCUGGAGAGUCUCCGCCCAAGAUGAAGAGUCUGGGCUUAAACGGGUCCCUAGAGUCGGGGCACCUGUUUUUGUUUUGUUUUGUUUUGUUUUGUUUGUUUUCGUUUUGUUUCCCCAGAAGCUAGUCUCCCACUACCUCAGCUCCCUCUCCACAACCCAGCGUCUUCCAUUGAUUCCCAGUUUAGCCCGGAUCCUGCGUUUGCCGACCCUAAUCCCCUGCAGGAUUUCCCUGAUUUUCAACGAAGGCCCAGGCUAACACAUGCCCCCUCCCAGUCCCCACCCUGCCCCAAUCUCUCACACGAGGAUGGCCACCUUCUGCUCUUCUAAAAAAAGGCAAAGAAAAAUGCAAACAUCCCUGAACCAGUGAGGAGGGAGACCUAUGGUGGGAAAAAGUGUCUUUCUCAGAGAAAACUUCCAUGGUCUGAGAAAAUGGCCUUGGCUGAAGCGAUAGGGAGAUUUCGUGGGUAAAUCCACAAGUGCAUCAUCCGUGUGUGCUCUCGGGGUCAAGUAUUCAACGCCAUGCGUCCCUCAUUCCUGAUGUCCAGGGUCUGGACAAGGCCGACACCAUCAGCUGUGCCUGGACUGUAGUAGGUUCUGGCUUGUCUGGGUCCCUGCGGUGUUCAGUGGUGACUCAGCAAUGACAGAUGGUGGGACCCCCUGGAGUUAUGACUACGUGUUGAACUCCUUUCUUCCCCCCUUCUUCCAAGAAGGGGAAGCACACUAACAAUAAAACUAGGUAUUUCGAACUGGAAUAUUUACCUAUUGUACUCACUGGUAGAUGGGUCAUUCAUUAUCUCUGUUUUAUAGAAGGGAAAACAGAAAUCUGGAAUCAGUGUUUUGCCAAGGUUAGAGUCAGUAAAGAAGGGCACUGGGCUCCCAUGGUGGGUUCUUCCCUGAGGGUGCACAGGCUCUGAUCUGUGUGUCAUCCUGUGCGAGCCACCUCCCUGGGGUAACAGGGGCUCAGACAGCUUCGUUUCAAACCACAACCUGGGCCACCAAUCACACUUCCUGCUGAACAGUCUGCCUAAACUCGCAUCCAGGGCUGCUCUUUGUGACAGAGCCAAGUGGCAGGUGAGCUGCUCAGGUCUCCUCUGAGGAUUUCUGAGGCUGGUGACCUGUGGCUGGCAACUUCUUUGGUCAGACCUUCAAGCACUCAGUUGCGCAAGUUAGGUUCCUGAGACCCAGGCACUCCUUUGGGACAGCCUGGAACCCACUCUGUUCAGAAAGUGCACAGUCACUGGCUUCCUUGGUUUGAAGACCUGUCCAUGCUUUGCCCCUCAUCCCUAUCAGAGAGGGGGGGUAUGUUGUGGCUCCUGAUUUCAACCCUUCCCACCGGUCUCAUGGGCUAAGGAGCAGGGGCUGUGACAGACAAAAGGUCAUUGUUAAGUACUAUUUAAAUAAAGUGGAGACACUGGGAAUUUUGAGCUUGACCAAACCUUCCAGGCUUUGGGAACCCUUUCUGGGUGGCAAGAAUUUGAGUCAGCAGUUGGAAAACUGCUAGCUGACCUUCACUAAGGUUCGCCCCCAACCCCCGCCAGCCACCCCCAAGUCCAUCAGAAGAUGGCUUACCAGGCUUUAUGAAGCCUGGAUUUGCCCCCAGUUUUUACCUACCAGCAGGGGGCUCUCUCUACAUGGCUAAUUUUUCAGUCUUGGCUUGCAAAAGACAAUGGGAAGGCGGAAUACAAUCCCCCAGUAUAUCUCCUGCAUUGGCAAAAAAAUGUUUCCCCAGUCUUAUUAGAGAAUUGGACUUCCCUCCACCAGCCCACUUACUUUAAGUUUUUAGGGAAUAUGAAGGUCACUAUAAGAAUUCAAACAUAGAGAAAAUGUUGCAUUCUGUCAGUAUUUAGGGAUCUUUUUAUGCACAAACAACCCCCAUGCUGCACACACCAUCCAGUACCAUGUUUCAUAACUCAUUAUAUUUGUAUCAAACUCUACUUAUGUUGCAUUUAUAGAACACACCACAAACAUAUACGCUCACCCACAUGGGCUGCUAGCUAUGCCAGCCAGACUGUGUAUACUAAGGCAUAAUUGUUCUGCACCAGGAACUCUCUUGAAUACUUUUCCUCUCACUUAGGGAAUUAUCUGAAUCAGAUUCUCUAACAAAUUCAAAGUGCAAGGGGUUGGGGGGCAGAAAGGAGAGAAAGGAAAUUUGAGACAAGGAAGGUCUGUUAUUGUCCCCAACUAGGGAAAAGGACCAAAUUUUAGCGCUUUGCAGAACCCCUUAGGGCUGGAAUUAAAGACAGAUGUCUUUCUGGAGGCAUCCGUGGGGAAGUGACUCUCUUCUCUUACCUCCUCCAACCACUGUGUAGACUUAGGCAAGUCCCCCGUAAUUCCUUCAUCUAAUUUUCCUUACUUGGCAAAAACCUUCUCAGCUGUAGAUGCCUCUUGCUGCUUAGUUCUUGGGUGCAGAGAGGCAUCCUCCAAUGCAGGCCCUGUUUGGCUUCUCCAUUUUACUGGAGUUGGGCAAUAACCUGCCCACCAAGAGUCUGACCUCUGAAGUUGUCCUCCUGCUUUCUACUCUGGAUAGCAGUUUGUUGGGGGUGCUGACAGCUAGUUCCAGAACAGGGAGCCUCUGUCAGAUGAAGUGAAGGGUGCAUAUACUUGUUAUCCUUCAGCGAGCCAGAAGUACAUGCCCAGAGCACAACCGUGUAGAUCAGCAUGUAUCAUAUCAGAGGUAUGAAUGCAACACAUACUGGGUUCUGGUAAGCACUCCCUAAUGUUAGUCAUGUGGUUAGUACAAUAUCCUAAAUAUAUGUCCUCCACCCUCUCUGCAGGUGAAUGGCAGAUACAUAGCUUCUACCCUAUCAGCAUUAAAUAGCAGACACUAGAAACACUUACACCAGGCACAGACUACACAACUAUCCCUGCUUUUGAGGGAUAGAAGCUACAGAAGCACCCUCGGGCCUGAGGGAUUCUCCUGCUUUCCACUACAACUGAGAUUCUCCUUUUAGCCUACUCCCAGUGGGUGGGCAAGUUUCCACCUUCUGGGAAUCCACAGAACUCCUCUACCACCCUGUAGCCUCCUUUUGAGAUCUUUGGAGGUGGGGAGGAAAGUGCAUUCUGAGCCAGACAGGUUUACCUCAGUCUGGGCAACUCUAAUCAUCCUGACAUUCCUAAGGUUAGACCUCCAGUUGGCUGAAAUGAGGACCCAUAGGUUGGUUCAUUCCCUCAAGCUCUCAACGACUCCCAGCUCAUUCCUCUGGACCGGUCUCUUAUCCAGGUAGGGAGAAAGGCAUGGUGAGGCAUGGGAUCUAACUCCUGUUGCCCCCAGCCACUUCUGGAGAUCCAAUAUCCAUCACCCCAUUGGAAAACUGAAGGCCAGCCACCUCUAACCCACCAGAGAGAUUUAAUCUGCGACCGGGUCAAACACCCUUUGUAUCUUCAUGAAAGCAUGGGUCUUAAUUCGUUAUUUGAUGAGCUCACUAGAGAGGAAGCAAAAGCUCACCUCCGUAGCAUAUCCUGCACUAAGCCUCCCACAAAGCACCAAGUUUCCUACACUGAAUAAGAUAAAUGAAUGCCAAUUGUUAAAAACAACGAGAUGACAAGUCGCCUAUUACACUGUAGAAAAGCUUGCAGCUUCCAGGGUGUUUCUGAAAUCGGGAUUGUAUAAUUAAAAAAAAACAAAUUGUUACAUAUUUUUGACAAAAAAUAAUUCUUAGAAAUAUGAGGAUUGUCAUGAAAACACAGCGUACACACCUAGUACAAUUAUGUAAGAGGCAAAAUAUAAACUUACACGAACGCAAAAAUAGAACAAACCUUGUCUACAGUAGCCUCUAGCGAGGGCCGGGUAUCUUUGCCGGUGUUAAACAGCCGCAACAGACGAGCGAUGACACAGAAAAACAAACAAUCUCCAGAAAAACAAAGCAGUAGCGACAGCCCAAAGCGCCUGCCACCCGGGUUGUCCUCAACUCUUGUUUGUGUCACUUUUUUUAAAGAACACAAUUUUGCUUGAAAGGCACGAUCUUUUAGCUAGCUAGCUGGCUAGCUGCUGAACUAAGGCGUAAAAGAAACAAUGUAAGUCCGUGUUAAAAGAAAAAAAAAACAAAAAAAAUUUAUUUGGGAAUUGACAAGGGACGCCCGCACACACAUACAAACACAACAAAAGUGCUCUAGUUCUCUCUAUAAAAUUUGGUCCCCGAAAGACAUUACUCAACCACCAGGUCACGGAUUUCGGGCCAGCGGGCUAGGGCCACAAGCCCGUGUGGGCCGGCGGCCGUGGCGAGUUUCACAUUUCUCCUUCCGAAGGUGGAAGAAGCCAGACAUUGGAAAAACAAAAAUCAGGGAUGGUAGUGUCAUCCGGGCGGUAUGUGCCAGCCGGGCAGUGAUCUCUCCUGGCAUCCGGGGCUAGAAUCGGAAGAUCCGGGGAAAUUUGUUUUGAAUUUAAUUUUUAAAUAGAGAGGAAAACUCCCAAUUUGUCGUGGAAACCUUCUUUUAGCUAGUUAUUUCCUCCCGCCUCUGAAUACAGCCCAAUGAAGUCACCUCAGGAAUUCUUACACAAAUCUCCCAUCAGGGACGAUGAAGAAAACUAAAACUUUUGAUUUUGUUGUUUGAUUUUUAGCAAACUCCAAGGCCAUAACACUUCGCUGUUUUUUUUUCCUCCGAUGAAUGUUUUAUUCUCUCCUUUUCCUUAAAAAGUAUUUUAAAAAAAUAUCUUCAAAAGCCUCACCAAUCUUUUAUGUAUAUAUAUAAAGACCUGGUCUGGAGGUGCCCGAAGCGGUGCGCUGCGGAGCGGAGGCACCGCGGCCUCGCGAGGCGCGGGGGAUGAGAACCCGGUUACAGGCCGCGAACCGAGACUGUCCCUGCUCCAGCCUGGGGCUCAACCCCCGCCCCGCCCAGUGGGCCCCUCUGCAAGCGGCUUCUGAUCAGUUCCAGGAGGGAUCGCAGAGCGACCGGACACGUUCUUUCCGUUCUCAGGCAGUGUGGGUCCCGCUACCCCAGCAGCCUAGCGCUUCUAACCGCAGACAGCACGGCAGUCGGGGUGGGGAGAAAAAAAACAAUCGAGCUUGAGUCCACCGACCUGGAAGAGAAGGCCAAGAGCUGCCUUUUCCCCUUCCAGUGUAGGUAAGGAAGGAAGGACUCAAAGAAAAACAGCAGGCUGGACAGGUGCUUCCUCGCAUUUCAGUCACGAAUGGGCAGUAGUUUUAAUCAUCUUUCCCCGCGGUUUUACGAUAAUACCAGAAGUCUGGUGGAGAUCCAGUUAAAUCUUCGAGAAUAGAAGACGGGCUUAGAGGAAUUCCGUGCCAGCACAAAAUCAGGCCUACAGGUGUUUGUCUUCUUCCUCAACAUCAGGCGUGUCCAGGCUAUGGGUCUGGGGGCUGAGUUUGGUUGGUCUGGACAGGAGUAAAACAACUCACUUUGAUCCGGACCAAAGAGGAUGGAGGGUCAGCACCCCAAUCCCAGGUGGAGAAAGGGUACUGUCUCUUAUGAGGACAAAGCUGGGAAACAGAGCUGCAAGAGCCCAGAGGGAUCGCCUUCCGGACCCCCUGCGUCUGACCCUAGUAAGCAGCCAGAGCAAAGAAGACUGGGGCAUAGGUGCGUGCCUGUUGCGUGGUGCAGCAGGAGGUGGAUGCUGCAGGCGCUUUAGGAAGCUGCUAGCUUUAGCCCGUUUCAUUCCGGCAAGGCUGGGCACCAUCCUCUUAGUGGCCUCCGGCCUGCGCCCACCUCCAGCGGCCUCAGUCUAGAACCGGGCGGAGCUCCAUGUUUCUCUGGUCCGGGUUUUCAGGAGCUUUCAGCGCCUCCAGCAACUUGUACCUCUAGGGAAAUGCCUGCCUUGCCAGGGAGCCUUGACCAGAGCAGCCCCUCAGCAAGGCUGGUGUAGCCUCCGAAGUCUGGACCGCCACCGACGUGAGCAAGUCGCUGAUCCCUAAUGAAGAUGCUUUUCUCCCGGGCUGAGCUUCCUAAAGCUGCCGCAGAAGCACCGCGGACCGCCUCGCGAGGCAGGCUGCUGGUUCCCCAGCACUGUUCAGGUCGGACGCUCAGCCACUCUGCUGGCUGACAGUACCUCAGAUCCUUUCUUAUCAGUCCCAGCCGGAGUUCCCACCAGAAUCGAAGAACCAGGAGGCUGAAGCCCUCUUCCGUGCAAGCUGCCUCUGCAGCGCAUUAGAAAGAGAAGAGCUUCAAUGUGUGUGUGUGUGUGUGUGUGUGUGUGUGUACUCCACUUCGCACCUACAACACACACACACACACCACACACAAAGUGACCCCCAUCCACCACUCUUCCUCAACCCCAAACCCUCUCCACCCCUUUACUCCCCCAGCUCACCAGUUGCAAAUACUAGUUCAGAUUCUGAAAGUUUUAGUAGACGUGUGUUAAAUUGCCUCUUGAAUUCCAAGUCUCAUCACAGACCAGCAUGACCUCCCAUUUCAUGGCUUUCCAUGUGAGGAAAAGCCUGCCAGACUGUGGGUUCAGAGUCCCAGUAGUGUUCUCAGGACAUUUGCAGAUUAGGUCAGGGCCCCUUUGUUUCUCAAUACCACAAAGAAGACACCAGCCUGGGCAUCUCUCUACAGUGUUUGUUCAGGGAUGGUCACUUGUUCUAGACAGAGGUGAUGGUUUGAGGAUGCUGUACCUUGUCCUGGAAAAUGCUCCCAGGAGAGGAUUUGUGAACAGUGCGAGAGCAGGAAGUGGGCUUCUGGACAGGGUCUUGUGUGUGUGGGGGGGGGUGAGGGGGGCGCUGGCCAGCAGCCUUCCCCUCAGGACUACUUCCUAUCAGGUCAUAUGCAAGGGUUUUACACUCUGAGCAGCCCAUCCUUCCUUAGGUUCCUUUGUAAACUAAUUGAGGCUUUGCUGGGCUCUGGGUUUGUGAUUGGACAUAAUUACUGGCAGACCGUUGUGCUGGUACACGCCAGUACUCAUAUUCUGCAUUUGGGGUCUUUGGCAGUGGAUAACUGGGGAUCCUGGUGUGCUCUGUUCCAGGUAUCUUUUGGCUUCGGUGUUUUGCUUGGUGAAAUGAAAGAUCUGUAACUAUCUGGAUAGAAAGGCUGUAUGGACAUGGAAACACAAGUCCAGAAACAUGCAUCGUCUGUGUUAGCCCACAGAGGCACCUGGUGUAGAAAGAACGGGGCUUGUUGUUUUAGGACAAGGUUUGGAACUCUUUUGUAGACCAGGUUGGCCUUGACUGAGAUCUGCCUGCCUCUUCGUGUUGAGCACCCUUAUUAAAGGUGCCAGCAAACCGCACACCACAGUCUGUAUGUAGCAUUGACGGGCUGGAAGUCACUACAGUGGGGCAGGUGACAAAGGCCCUUGCUUAAUUCUCAAUUAUAUCAGCCUUGGAAAUAAAGGGACCUUGUCUUGCUUCAGUGCUUACAUUGACACCAGUUUUUGAAGAGCAAUAUAAUUCACCUGAACCCCAGCCCCCAAAUACAGAAGACUUGCAAUACAAAGUCUCUUUCUCACUCUUCCUAAGUUACCCAUCUCACAGGCAGCCAGAACCCUAUAUUUUAUGCCUAUCCAAGCGUGAACAUUGGUUUUCUCCUGUACACUGCCACUUUUAUAGUUACAAAGCACCCUAGAAAUCCUUGUAUAUCAGUCCCUCCCACCCCCAGGGUCUCUCUCUCAGCUCAGGCUACCCUGGAGCCUGAGAUACUCCUUUAGGCUCUCAGAUUUCAGGUGUGCAUCGAGACGCCCCAUCUCAAUGUACUUUCUUUAUAGAGCUGAGAGGAGUUGUGUCCAUGCAUCUUCACUGUCAACUUGCUUGAACCUGGAACCAAAUAGGAAACACACUUGUGAGCAUGUUUGCACAUCCUAGGGACUGAACACGAAGAAGGGAGGAAGCGAGCCUGUUGUGGUUUGCCCUGAAGCUAUCUGUAUUUUGAUGCUAAUUCCACUGCCCCAAGGACUGCUGCCUAGUCAGUA